rnacentral:misc_RNA from 1 species
GAGGCAUUGCUUCCCUAUUUUCAGAAGUUCGAUGUAGAUCCUAUUGUUCUUCGGGUUGACUACAGUCCCCAUCACGUAGAUCUAGCAGCGUUGGGAGGUGGAAAGUAUGUGGAACUUGUAAACCUUGUCCCUUGGAAGGGGGUUGAGCUUCAACUCAAAUGUGUUCAUGCUGUUGGUGUCUAUGGCUGGGGCAAUGUAUGUGAAACAACUAUCGGGGAGUGGUUGGAGGAUAUUUCUCAAAAUCAGAUACAUAAAGUUUUGCAAGGCCUUCCUACCAUUCGGUCCUUGGUUGCUGUUGGUGCUGGUGCAGCAAAGCUUGUUUCUUUGCCUGUUGAGAGCUAUAAGAAGGAUCAGAGAGUGCA